UCUGUGUGUGUGUGUAUGUGCGUGUGUGUGUAGCAGGUCUGGCUCUGUGUGUGCGCGCGUGUGUGUGUGUAGCAGGUCUGGCUCUGUGUGUGUGCGCAUGUGUGUGUGUUGCAGGUCUGGCUCUGUGUGUGCGUGUGUGUGCAUGUUGCAGGUCUG